GACGAACGCUGGCGGCGUGCCUAAUACAUGCAAGUAGGACGCUGAAGAGAGGAGCUUACUCUUCUUGGAUGAGUUGCGAACGGGUGAGUAACGCGUAGGUAACCUGCCUUGUAGCGGGGGAUAACUAUUGGAGACGAUAGCUAAUACCGCAUAACAAUGGAUGACACAUGUCAUUUAUUUGAAAGGGGCAAUUGCUCCACUACAAGAUGGACCUGCGUUGUAUUAGCUAGUAGGUGAGGUAAUGGCUCACCUAGGCGACGAUACAUAGCCGACCUGAGAGGGUGAUCGGCCACACUGGGACUGAGACACGGCCCAGACUCCUACGGGAGGCAGCAGUAGGGAAUCUUCGGCAAUGGGGGCAACCCUGACCGAGCAACGCCGCGUGAGUGAAGAAGGUUUUCGGAUCGUAAAGCUCUGUUGUAAGUCAAGAACGGGUGUGAGAGUGGAAAGUUCACACUGUGACGGUAGCUUACCAGAAAGAGACGGCUAACUACGUG
rnacentral:rRNA from 1 species